rnacentral:rRNA from 1 species
UGGGGGAUAUUGCACAAUGGGCGAAAGCCUGAUGCAGCGACGCCGCGUGGGGGAUGAAGGCUUUCGGGUUGUAAACCUCUUUCGCUAUCGAACAAGGCCCGCUUAGGGUGGGUUGAGGGUAGGUGGAGAAGAAGCGCCGGCUAACUACGUGCCAGCAGCCGCGGUAAUACGUAGGGCGCGAGCGUUGUCCGGAAUUAUUGGGCGUAAAGGGUUUGUAGGCGGCUUGUUGCGCCUGCUGUGAAAACGCGGGGCUUAACUUCGCGCGUGCAGUGGGUACGGGCAGGCUUUAGUGUAGGAGGGGUGACUGGAAUUCCAGGUGUAGCGGUGGAAUGCGCAGAUAUCUGGAGGAACACCGAUGGCGAAGGCAGGUCACUGGGCCAUUACUGACGCUGAGGAGCGAAAGCAUGGGUAGCGAACAGG